GAGUGUCCAGUGACUCCAUGUCCUUGAUGGGCGGACUAUGCGGGCGUGAGGAGAGGCGAUCUUCCUUGCAACGGCAGCUUGCACACGACGACGAAGGCGCAAUACAUAUCAACAUCAAGAAACAGGAUAAUGAAGGAAACAUGCUAUCGGGGUCGAGAGACGAACUGGUCAAGAACGAGGAGUUGAACCUUGACGACGACGAAGCUUCGAGGAGUAGGAAAAUAACACGUGACGAGGGCCAUCUCUUUGCCGAGGUCCGUUUCCAGCCACAGGUGCAUGGGAAGCAUUUGACGCGGUCGAUAUCUAGCUGAAGUUUGUGUUCCGCCACUGUCCGGUCCCGGGCCCACACUUUCUAAACCGUUGUUUGGAAGCACUUCAGAAGCGGCUGUCCUGGCAGAGUGAUAAGGCGCGGGAAGGCAUCCGGCUGCGAGUGCUAGUGGACCCUGUGAUGGUGGUGGGCGUAGAAGGAAGAAAAGAGCAUGUUGAAGGUUGUCUGGGAUUUACAGGCCACGAGGAGGAGGAAAGUCCCGCGGUUAAUGUAGGAAACACUCGUUCGCGCUCUCUUGAGUUGGGGCUGAAAUUGUCAAAAGAAAACGGGAAAGGAAAAGAAAUAGAAAAUCAGUUUGUUUUUUUUUCUAUGUGUAUUUUUUUGGUCUUUUUAAUCACGAACAAAGAAUAAUCUUACAGCAUCCGUUUGACAUUCAUGCACAUCCGCUAUUGAGAGAGCAAGAACAUGAACAUGACAAGUACAUGAUGGCCCGCUGUUUGUGUUUGUUUGUUUGCUGUUAAAUGACACACAGAAUACAAUACCGUACACAAAAUAAGCUUAUUGGAAAAUAAUGACUGAUGAUGAAACUUUUUUUUUUGUCUCAUCUAAUAAACUUAUUUUGUUUACUACUAAUCAUUUAGAUUUUUUAAAAGUAUUUUUAUGUGCAAUAUCGACAUGGAAUCACCCAACAUAUAUAGUCCAUAUCAAUAUAACUCAUAAUAUCCAGUCCUUAUCACCAUAUCAGUACUAACAAUCACUUUCAUAACGAUUUGAUAAUCACAAUGCCUUUGAAGUUAAUUAUGCUCGCUUGCAGUAGUAAUAUCCUCUGUGAUUGUAAAUAAGGAAAAAUAUAAAUGCAUAAUAUACGCAAUAGCCUAGAAACGCCUUUAGAUUAAUAGAGAGAGUAUUUAACCCUUCUGGUGCCUCAUUGUAUGGUAUGUGAGCCUGGCGAGCCCAUGGAACUUCGGGUAAAUUGACACAG